CCAUCUUCUUUCAUAAGGUCUGAAGCAAAAUCGUUAGGAUAAAGGCGAGCCAGUAUAAGCUGAGUUCCAAGGACCUUCCGAUCGACUUCACAUACAUCUAAAUAUAACUCGUCGUACAUUCUCUCUAAUUGAUGUUGUAUAUGUGAUUCAAGCAUAUAAAUUUUUGAAUUGAAAUAUGUGAAGAUAUCAAACUCUCUGCACACUUAGUUUUUUCUACCGAGCUCGGCUGUGCAAAUCUCGGCAAAAAAAGUUUCACUGAGAUCUCAGCAAAAGUGACAUUUGAUUGCUGAGUCUCGGAUAAUGCUUAGCUGAAUCUCAGCAAACAAAUGAAAUGUUUGCUGAGAUCUCAGUGAAACUUUUUUUGCCGAAAUUUGCGUAGCCGAGCUCGGUAGAAAAAAACUAAGUGUGUGGGUUGGGGUGCGUAGUUAUUCCUAAAUAUGGUCAUUGGAUUGGUCAUUGUGUACUUCGCCGAUAAAUAUUUUAGGAUGGUCAGUUUUGUAAAGGGUAUUACGUAAUUGUGAGACUAAGAUAUAUAUUCAGACUGUACGAGUACUAUACCGUGGCUAAUAUCCCCGAGAAUACCAUCGAGUUACUUAAAUCUCUGAACUAGCAAUGCUGCGUGAUAAAUCCACGAAAAUGUUUUGGCAAUGUAUUCAAAAUUAGCAGAAAGUUUUGCCCCGGGGAUGCAUUUUAGCCCAUGUACCUUUAGCUUCCUUCUAGAAGGUUCUUUCAGGAAGCUUUUUUUUCGGAAGUUUCUGUGUGUAAGUUUCAUCUAGAACAGCUUUUCUCAACCUAUGGGUUGCGACCCACCGUGGGAAUUUUCUGUUUUUCAAGCCGAUUCAAUGUCAAUCUGUUUUUAAGUUCGAAGUGUUAUGUUACUUCAUACGCGAGGUUUGCGAUUUUCAGAGUUGGUUGAAAAUGCGAUCUGAUAAUUUAUUAGCUAGAGAAUGGUCUUAGAAGAGGAUAGGUAGAUAAUUCCCGAAGGGCCAUUAAUACGACAGUUCAAGUCAAUCUCACACUUCUUUACCUAACUCGUACGCUGUACGCGGAGAUUUGAAGUACGAGUUAGGUAAAGAAGUGUGCGUUUGACUUUGUACUGUCGCAUUAAUUUGUUCAAUUUUCAUCAUGCCGUACGUAACGGAACUAAAAAUACUCCUCAUUGGCGGAGAAAACAAAAUACAAUCGGGUUCUUUAGGGGUAUUGAGGUUAUUGUUUAUACCGCAGUUUAGCACCUUGUACAUCAUUUUUGCUUAACACAAUAAAAACAACCAUAAACAAACAAGAAUAUCCAUCGCUUAAAGCACGCCGUGGACCCUAUUUUCCAACUUUCCUUUCGCAAAUAUAAAUUAAGAACGCCAUCGAAGUCAACAUUGAUUCCGGCCUCACUGCCUCUGUCCUUUUUUUCCACGAUUGCUACUGUCAAAUCGACCAAUCAUCAACUGGCUCGGAUUUGACAGCCAAUUGGCUACCCGAUUGUCAAGUCCCGUCCGAG